rnacentral:misc_RNA from 1 species
UUGUUUGUUUAUUUAUUUAUUUUGUAGGAUACCUCAAAUUUAGCAAAUGUCAAUUUUAAUUGGUAGUAUUCUGCAACUUUGUUUCUUUGACAAGUGCAGUUUGUUUAGUAUUCAUCUCCUUUUGUUGAUACCUUAAUGGGAUCUGAGCAUUUGUAUUUUGGGCUGAACAUGUCCUGUGUUUGUUCAAGUAUUUAAAUGACACAUGAUGUGCGAUUAUUGAUUAUUUGAUCAGAUAGGUGAAAAGUAGUUGAACGGUGCCUGACCUCUCUGCAUUUGUAUAGGAUAAAAUUAUACUAUUGCUAUUUGCUACCAUGCAGCUUCACCUUGAUUUUCUUAUCUCUUGUGUGUCAGGAGCUACUCUUACAACCCAAUUAUUUAUUUUCUUUGGCUUGAUGACAUGCAGUCAUUAACCACUAAACUUUGUUUCUGAAUUCAGUGCCAUGAUUGCAUACUCCAUACUUGCUUUGAUUGUCACUGUAACUAACUUUUUGCAGGUUUCAUUGAUGACAGGUCAUAGAUGAGUUUGGGUCAUUUGACAAGUAUAUUUGGAGCUUUGU